GACGAAGGGGGCUAGCGUUGUUCGGAAUUACUGGGCGUAAAGCGCGCGUAGGCGGUCUUUCCAGUCAGGAGUGAAAGCCCCGGGCUCAACCCGGGAAUAGCUCUUGAUACUGUUGGACUUGAGUCCGGGAGAGGAUAGUGGAAUUCCCAGUGUAGAGGUGAAAUUCGUAGAUAUUGGGAAGAACACCAGUGGCGAAGGCGGCUAUCUGGACCGGUACUGACGCUGAGGCGCGAAAGCGUGGGGAGCAAACAGG
rnacentral:rRNA from 1 species